rnacentral:rRNA from 1 species
AGAGUGAACGCUGGCGGUAGGCCUAACACAUGCAAGUCGAACGGCAGCACAGUGGUAGCAAUACCAUGGGUGGCGAGUGGCGGACGGGUGAAGGAAUACAUCGGAAUCUACCUUUUCGUGGGGGAUAACGUAGGGAAACUUACGCUAAUACCGCAUACGCCCUUCGGGGGAAAGCCGGGGAUCGGCAAGACCUGGCGCGGAUAGAUGAGCCGAUGUCGGAUUAGCUAGUU